rnacentral:rRNA from 1 species
CCUACGGGUGGCAGCAGUGGGGAAUAUUGGUCAAUGGCCGCAAGCCUGACCCAGCCACGUCGCGUGAGGGAAGAAGGCUCUCCGGUUUUAAACUUCUUUUAGCAGGGACGAAGCAAGUGACGGUACCUGAGGAAUAAGCCACGGCGAACUACGGGCCAGCGGCCGCGGGAAUACGUAGGUGGCAAGCGUUAUCCGGAUUUACUGGGUGUAAAGGGCGAGUAGGCGGGAAAGCAAGUCAGAUGUGAAAACAAUGGGCUCAACCUGUGGCCUGCAUUUGAAACUGUUUUUCUUGAGUGCUGGAGAGGCAGGCGGAAUUCGUAGUGUAGCGGUGAAAUGCGUAGAUAUUAGGAGGAACACCAGUGGCGAAGGCGGUCUGCUGGCCAGCAACUGACGCUGAGGCGCGAAAGCGUGGGGAGCGAACAGGAUUAGAUACCCGUGUAGUC